CCUACGGGAGGCAGCAGUGAGGAAUAUUGGUCAAUGGACGAGAGUCUGAACCAGCCAAGUAGCGUGAAGGAUGACUGCCCUAUGGGUUGUAAACUUCUUUUAUAUGGGAAUAAAAUGUUCCACGUGUGGGAUUUUGUAUGUACCAUAUGAAUAAGGAUCGGCUAACUCCGUGCCAGCAGCCGCGGUAAUACGGAGGAUGCGAGCGUUAUCCGGAUUUAUUGGGUUUAAAGGGAGCGUAGGUGGAUUGUUAAGUCAGUUGUGAAAGUUUGCGGCUCAACCGGAAAAUUGCAGUUGAAACUGGCAGUCUUGAGUACGGGAGAGGUGGGCGGAAUUCGUGGUGUAGCGGUGAAAUGCUUAGAUAUCACGAAGAACUCCGAUUGCGAAGGCAGUUCACUGGACUGCAACUGACACUGAGGCUCGAAAGUGUGGGUAUCAAACAGGAUUAGAUACCCGGGUAGUC
rnacentral:rRNA from 1 species